CAAACCAGGAGAGUUGCAUCUUGCUCCAUUUGGUUAGAAGGCCGCGUAAUGAGGAUAGCAAAGGGACAAAGCCUGAUUGGUCGGUGUGUAUUAAGGUUGGGUAAAGGGGGCGUCUAUUGACUGACUAUCUUCUAAAGUUGCUGCCUAUUGAGAUGAGACUACCUCUGAGAACGCAUUUCAGGGUCUCCCAGAUUGUUCCAGGGGAGAUCGAACAAGAGCUGUUAUCUUGUAGGAUCUGUAUGAUGUUUGAUUUAAUCUGUUCUCUGACUUGUUCUUUGUGUAGCAAUAAAUCAUUCAUUCUCCAUGUGAAAUCAGGCUUAGUGGUCUUUGGUAUUACAAACUUAGCAAAAAUAGGGGAGUGAUCAGAUAGUGUGCUAUUACCUAUUUUUGCCUGUGUGAACAGGUGUAACCAGUUUUGUGAAACCAUAAUGUAGUCUAUUCUUGAAUAAACCAUGUGAGUUUUUGAAAA